UACGUAGGGGGCAAGCGUUGUCCGGAUUUAUUGGGCGUAAAGAGCGUGUAGGCGGCCAGGUAGGUCUGCUGUGAAAACUCGAGGCUUAACCUCGAGAUGUCGGCGGAAACCAUCUGGCUAGAGUCCGGAAGAGGAGAGUGGAAUUCCUGGUGUAGCGGUGAAAUGCGCAGAUAUCAGGAAGAACACCCGUGGCGAAGGCGGCUCUCUGGGGAUUUUCUGACGCUGAGGAACGAAAGCCAGGGGAGCGAACGGG
rnacentral:rRNA from 1 species